rnacentral:rRNA from 1 species
UACGGAGGAUGCGAGCGUUAUCCGGAUUUAUUGGGUUUAAAGGGUGCGUAGGCGGCUUUUUAAGUCAGCGGUGAAAUUUUGCAGCUUAACUGUAACAGUGCCGUUGAUACUGGGGAGCUAGGUUUUGGUUGCUGUGGGUGGAAUGUGUGGUGUAGCGGUGAAAUGCUUAGAGAUCACACAGAAUAUCGAUUGCGAAGGCAGCUCACAAAGCCAAGAUUGACGCUGAGGCACGAAAGUGUGGGGAUCAAACAGGAUUAGA